rnacentral:tRNA from 1 species
UAGCUCAGUGGCAGAGCACUUGUCUAGCAUGCAUGAGGCCCUGGGUUCAAUCUCCAG